UACGUAGGGGGCGAGCGUUGUCCGGAAUUAUUGGGCGUAAAGAGCGUGUAGGCGGUUUGGUAAGUCUGCCGUGAAAACCUGGGGCUCAACCCUGGGCGUGCGGUGGAUACUGCCGGGCUAGAGGGUGGUAGAGGCGAGUGGAAUUCCCGGUGUAGCGGUGAAAUGCGCAGAUAUCGGGAGGAACACCAGUAGCGAAGGCGGCUCGCUGGGCCAUUCCUGACGCUGAGACGCGAAAGCUAGGGGAGCGAACAGG
rnacentral:rRNA from 1 species